rnacentral:rRNA from 1 species
GACAGAGGGUGCAAACGUUGUUCGGAAUUACUGGGCGUAAAGCGUGUGUAGGCGGUCCACUAAGUCGGGUGUGAAAGCCCUGGGCUCAACCCAGGAAGUGCACUCGAAACUGGCGGGCUUGAGUAUCGGAGAGGUUGGUGGAAUUCUCGGUGUAGAGGUGAAAUUCGUAGAUAUUCGCAAGAACACCAGUGGCGAAGGCGGCUCACUGGCCCGGUACUGACGCUGAGGUGCGAAAGCGUGGGGAGCAAACAGG